UGACUGAUAAUGAAUGAGCUUAGAAUGGGAGAUCUUCUUUGGAGCUUAAGUGCGUGGGCGACGGAUGGAGCGAAAAAGCCACCCGGAACAAAAACAAAGGUGACCUUGCUGUGCCGUUUCAGACCGUAAUGGGUCGCUCUGUUUCGUUUGUGAGGUCAUAUCAGCAGCACCUGCAAGGACAAAAGAUUCUUCAUUUGUGUUCCGAAGAUACAUGAAACUCAUACGGGUUUGAAGCAACAUGAGGGUGAACGUCACUACUGACCAGUAGGUGCAUCUUUACCCACAUUAAG